CCCAUAUAUCUUUAUAUUUUUUUAGCAAAUGCUCGUUCGGUUUUAGGUUGGGGUGACCAUGGAGUAAAAAAUAACCUCCACGAAAAAAGGCAUAAAACCCUUAUCAAAGAGCCACAUCUCUAUGAAUUAGUAAACUAAUUUCUGAUGAUCCGAUAUUCGAUCAACGAACCAAGUUACCCUGGGGAUAACAGCGCAAUCCGCCUUAAGAGCCCCUAUCGACAGGCGGGUUUACGACCUCGAUGUUGGAUCAGGGUAUCCCAGUGGUGCAACAGCUACUAAAGGUUCGUUUGUUCAACGAUUAAAACCCU
rnacentral:rRNA from 1 species